AUUGAACGCUGGCGGCAGGCUUAACACAUGCAAGUCGAGCGGAGAUGAGGUGCUUGCACCUUAUCUUAGCGGCGGACGGGUGAGUAAUGCUUAGGAAUCUGCCUAUUAGUGGGGGACAACAUUCCGAAAGGAAUGCUAAUACCGCAUACGCCCUACGGGGGAAAGCAGGGGAUCUUCGGACCUUGCGCUAAUAGAUGAGCCUAAGUCGGAUUAGCGAGUUGGUGGGGUAAAGGCCUACCAAGGCGACGAUCUGUAGCGGGUCUGAAAGGAUGAUCCGCCACACGGGGACUAAGACACGGCCCAGACUCCUACGGGAGGCAGCAGUGGGGAAUAUUGGACAAUGGGCGGAAGCCUGAUCCAGCCAUGCCGCGUGUGUGAAGAAGGCCUUUUGGUUGUAAAGCACUUUAAGCGAGGAGGAGGCUACCUGGAUUAAUACUCUAGGAUAGUGGACGUUACUCGCAGAAUAAGCACCGGCUAACUCUGUGCCAGCCGCCGCAGUAAGAC
rnacentral:rRNA from 1 species